GAUGAACGCUGGCGGCGUGCCUAAUACAUGCAAGUCGAGCGAACGGACGAGAAGCUUGCUUCUCUGAUGUUAGCGGCGGACGGGUGAGUAACACGUGGAUAACCUACCUAUAAGACUGGGAUAACUUCGGGAAACCGUAGCUAAUACCGGAUAAUAUUUUGAACCGCAUGGUUCAAAAGUGAAAGACGGUCUUGCUGUCACUUAUAGAUGGAUCCGCGCUGCAUUAGCUAGUUGGUAAGGGAACGGCUUACCAAGGCAACGAUGCAUAGCCGACCUGAGAGGGUGAUCGGCCACACUGGAACUGAGACACGGUCCAGACUCCUACGGGAGGCAGCAGUAGGGAAUCUUCCGCAAUGGGCGAAAGCCUGACGGAGCAACGCCGCGUGAGUGAUGAAGGUCUUCGGAUCGUAAAACUCUGUUAUUAGGGAAGAACAUAUGUGUAAGUAACUGUGCACAUCUUGACGGUACCUAAUCAGAAAGCCACGGCUAACUACGUG
rnacentral:rRNA from 1 species